rnacentral:misc_RNA from 1 species
AACGCACGAGACCUGCGGACCUGCGGAAGGAUCAUUAACACGUAUCCACGUAUCAACCCCUCGUGCAAACCACAACGUCAAGGUUGGUCUAGUCUAUUUGCUCGCAUAGGUCCCAACGAUGGCGGCGGUCUGUGGCCUCACGGCCUAAGAUAGCCGGGGAUCUGAGCGGUAGGCGUUCUGACGACUGGCCGGCAUUUUUCCUAUCGUUGAGAAUGCCUGUUAUUUUUAACCCCUUUGUAC